rnacentral:lncRNA from 1 species
CAAGUUUUUAAGUUUCAUGUGUGUUAUUUUAAAUUAUUUUUUUUUAAAGAAUAGAUCCUAGAGAGUGUAAAGGCAGUCACAGAAGAUAACUAAACUGAAGGGGACCAGGAAUAUUAGCAUUCAAUGGGUUUAAUUCCAAUGGAACCUAGGUUUUCCAGGGGAAGAGAGGACAGGAAGAAUGGAGGGAUGCUAAGGAAUAGUGCUGUUCCCUUCAUCAUCAAAAAACAAGGGAAAUGCUGAGGACCCCAAGUAUCCUGGAGCCCCUAUUAGUGUGGUAGCAUGGCUAGCUUACCUGAGUUUUAAAUAAAUGCAUUAGAUUGAUUACUGCUCUUUAUGUG